rnacentral:rRNA from 1 species
AGUCGAGGGGCAGCGGGGGUGCAGGCUUGCCUGCACCUGCCGGCGACCGCCUCACGGGUGAGUAACACGUAUGGAACCUGCCCGCCACAGGGGGAUAACCCGGGGAAACCCGGCCUAAUACCCCAUGCCGCCCGGACCGGGCAUCCGGACCGGGCGAAAGGAGGAAUCCGGUGGCGGCUGGGCAUGCGGCGCAUUAGCUUGACGGCGGGGUAACGGCCCACCGUGGCGACGAUGCGUAGGGGUUCUGAGAGGAAGGCCCCCCACACUGGAACUGAGACACGGUCCAGACUCCUACGGGAGGCAGCAGUGAGGAAUAUUGGUCAAUGGGCGGAAGCCUGAACCAGCCAAGUCGCGUGAGGGAAUAAGGCCCUACGGGUCGUAAACCUCUUUUGCCGGGGAGCAAGGGCCGGGACGAGUCCCGGUCCGGAGAGUACCCGGAGAAAAAGCAUCGGCUAACUCCGUGCCAGCAGCCGCGGUAAUACGGAGGAUGCGAGCGUUAUCCGGAUUUAUUGGGUUUAAAGGGUGCGUAGGCGGGCUUUUAAGUCAGCGGUAAAAAUUCGGGGCUCAACCCCGUCCGGCCGUUGAAACUGGGGGCCUUGAGUGGGCGAGAAGAAGGCGGAAUGCGUGGUGUAGCGGUGAAAUGCAUAGAUAUCACGCAGAACCCCGAUUGCGAAGGCAGCCUUCCGGCGCCCUACUGACGCUGAGGCACGAAAGUGCGGGGAUCGAACAGGAUUAGAUACCCUGGUAGUCCGCACAGUANACGAUGGAUGCCANCUGUCCGGG